AUUGAACGCUGGCGGCAGGCUUAACACAUGCAAGUCGAGCGGAGAUGAGGUGCUUGCACCUUAUCUUAGCGGCGGACGGGUGAGUAAUGCUUAGGAAUCUGCCUAUUAGUGGGGGACAACAUUCCGAAAGGAAUGCUAAUACCGCAUACGUCCUACGGGAGAAAGCAGGGGAUCUUCGGACCUUGCGCUAAUAGAUGAGCCUAAGUCGGAUUAGCUAGUUGGUGGGGUAAAGGCCUACCAAGGCGACGAUCUGUAGCGGGUCUGAGAGGAUGAUCCGCCACACUGGGACUGGAACACGGCCCAGACUCCUACGGGAGGCAGCAGUGGGGAAUAUUGGACAAUGGGGGGAACCCUGAUCCAGCCAUGCCGCGUGUGUGAAGAAGGCCUUAUGGUUGUAAAGCACUUUAAGCGAGGAGGAGGCUACUGAGACUAAUACUCUUGGAUAGUGGACGUUACUCGCAGAAUAAGCACCGGCUAACUCUGUGCCAGCCGCCGCAGUAAGAC
rnacentral:rRNA from 1 species